CCUACGGGGGGCUGCAGUGAGGAAUAUUGGUCAAUGGGCUUACGCCUGAACCAGCCAAGUCGCGUGAGGGAAGACUGCCCUAUGGGUUGUAAACCUCUUUUGUCAGGGAGCAACGCCGGCUACGUGUAGCCGGACUGAGAGUACCUGAAGAAAAAGCAUCGGCUAACUCCGUGCCAGCAGCCGCGGUAAUACGGAGGAUGCGAGCGUUAUCCGGAUUUAUUGGGUUUAAAGGGUGCGUAGGCGGAAUGCCAAGUCAGCGGUAAAAUCGCGGGGCUCAACCUCGCUCCGCCGUUGAAACUGGCGUUCUUGAGUGGGCGAGAAGUAUGCGGAAUGCGGGGUGUAGCGGUGGAAUGCGUAGAUAUCGGGAGGAACACCAGAGGCGAAGGCGACUUACUGGACUGUAACUGACGCUGAGGCUCGAAAGCGUGGGGAGCAAACAGGAUUAGAUACCCGGGUAGUC
rnacentral:rRNA from 1 species